UAGGGAAUCUUCGGCAAUGGACGGAGGUCUGACCGAGCAACGCCGCGUGAGUGAAGAAGGUUUUCGGAUCGUAAAGCUCUGUUGUAAGAGAAGAACGAGUGUGAGAGUGGAAAGUUCACACUGUGACGGUAUCUUACCAGAAAGGGACGGCUAACUACGUGCCAGCAGCCGCGGUAAUACGUAGGUCCCGAGCGUUGUCCGGAUUUAUUGGGCGUAAAGCGAGCGCAGGCGGUUAGAUAAGUCUGAAGUUAAAGGCUGUGGCUUAACCAUAGUACGCUUUGGAAACUGUUUAACUUGAGUGCAAGAGGGGAGAGUGGAAUUCCAUGUGUAGUGGUGAAAUGCGUAGAUAUAUGGAGGAACACCGGUGGCGAAAGCGGCUCUCUGGCUUGUAACUGACGCUGAGGCUCGAAAGCGUGGGGAGCAAACAGGAUUAGAUACCCUGGUAGUCCACGCCGUAAACGAUGAGUGCUAGGUGUUAGACCCUUUCCGGGGUUUAGUGCCGCAGCUAACGCAUUAAGCACUCCGCCUGGGGAGUACGACCGCAAGGUUG
rnacentral:rRNA from 1 species